AUUCAACUAAUAACUGAUCCUGGGGGAGCGGCCUUCCAGCCACAGACCUCUCAUCCACUGCACUUCUGACACUAUAAAACAACUGCAUAUUCCAGUAUCAGUUAUGCCACUUCUCAUAAGAGAGAGAAAGAACAGAGUGGAAACUCUGAGGGUAUUCCCAAAUAAGAUGAAAACUCUCCUUCUGAUCACUGCCAUCUUGGCAGUAACUGUUGGUUUCCCGGUCUCUGAAGACCAGGAUAGAGAAAAACGAAGCAUCAGUGACAGUGAUGAAAAUACUCCACAGAUUUUUUUGCCCCCUUUUCAAAACCCAUUAGGCCCAUAUCCACUGAUCAUAAAUCAGGCAUAUCCAGGGUAUAGGUUUUACUUAUUUCCUUUCCCAGUAUCUCAGCUGGCAACUGCGACUCCUCCACCUAAUGAAAAGUGAACAAGGGAGAAAAGUCACAGUGUGAUUUAAGAAGAAAUUAAGUGAUUGCUGUAAAAUUGAAUGUCAGCUACUUCCUUGAAGAAUCAAUAAUCCUGUUAUAAAAGAAAAAAAUAAACUUAAUUGAAGCAUCA
ensembl:lncRNA